CUGCCCUAUAAUUUUUUUUUUUUUUUAAAGAAAUCUAUCUUCUCUGAACCAUUUCAAAAUUUUUUAUUCAUCCCUCCAAUAGCAUUUCCUUUUGGGGAGCUCUUUGCACUGUUUAAAAUAAUGUGAACAUUUUCUUAGGUGCUAGAAAUUUCCUUCCAACUAACCCCUGUCUCUAUUCCUUUCUUCAGAUUUCAUGAUCGAGAAUGUGUCAAGAAGGAAGGUGGAAAAAAAAAAAUGGUCUCUCUCCACUCCCUUGUCUUUUUAAAUCCCUAGAAAGGAAAAGAGGCUUGCUCAUGACUUGGAAGUGGUAGGCUGAGGCCUCUCAGAACCAUCUGCCUCCUUCCAUUGCCAACCAGAGCCAAGAACCCAGGAGCCGAGGGAGCGCCUGAGUUGCACCUGCCCAUGGGAUCCAAAGACAGCACAACAAGAUUCUGCAGAGAUCACACUUUGCAUGUUUCUGGGUUGCUCCAGGAAGUUGAAACCAGGAGAAGGAAGAAUAAGUAACACAUACAAAGUCAUCUCCUGGAAAGUGGAAG
rnacentral:lncRNA from 12 species